rnacentral:lncRNA from 1 species
UUUUUGCCUCUUAUGGGUGUGAGGCAUUUUAUAAUAAAGUUGCUGAAAUGGGGAGAAAAAUUUUUUAAAGAAGAAGAAAUGAAAUUUUUAUCAUUUCAAGUUUACAAUACAUUUUUGUGUCGAUAAAAGAUUCAAGCAAAAUACCCAUUAUUAUGAACUUGUAUCAUUUCAGGAGCCUAUUUGGUAAUAAGGUUCAUAUUAGUUUCCUCCCAAAAAGCUGAUUUUCACAUGAUACCAUAUGAGCCAAGCCUCACUACUGCAUCUCCAUCAUUAAAUACUCAAUAGCUGCUGAGUGAAAGUGAAUAAAUCCUAGCAGCUAUUGAUUAGCAAAUUUAUUUGCAAGCUUAUUGGCACUCUACAACUUAUUCCUUGUACUGUGAAGGGUACCUGAAACAUUUACUAUGUAGUAUAAAAGUCAAUAUUCUUGCAAUAAGUUUGUAG